GCCCGGGGAGCGGUCUCUGCACAUAGCGCUGACGCCGGUCGCCGAGCUGACGCCUACCUCGGCCGGGGGAGGCCCGCCGCGCCCGGCCAACUCGCGGUCAGGAGCGGUCGGCUCCAGCGAACCGCGCCGUCGCCUGCCCCGCCGGAGGCUGCUGGGAGCCGCCGAGACGCCGCCAUCCUCUCUGGACACGAGCCGUCGGCACGCCAGCGAUCCGGCUGCUGCCAGGUGCAGCGCGGCCGGCGUGGUGGCGCCACCUGUGG